rnacentral:rRNA from 1 species
AACGCUAGCUACAGGCUUAACACAUGCAAGUCGAGGGGCAGCAUCAUCAAAGCUUGCUUUGAUGGAUGGCGACCGGCGCACGGGUGAGUAACACGUAUCCAACCUGCCGACAACACUGGGAUAGCCUUUCGAAAGAAAGAUUAAUACCGGAUGGUAUAGUUUUCCCGCAUGGGGUGACUAUUAAAGAAUUUCGGUUGUCGAUGGGGAUGCGUUCCAUUAGGCAGUUGGCGGGGUAACGGCCCACCAAACCAACGAUGGAUAGGGGUUCUGAGAGGAAGGUCCCCCACAUUGGAACUGAGACACGGUCCAAACUCCUACGGGAGGCAGCAGUGAGGAAUAUUGGUCAAUGGACGAGAGUCUGAACCAGCCAAGUAGCGUGAAGGAUGACUGCCCUAUGGGUUGUAAACUUCUUUUAUACGGGAAUAAAGUGAGCCACGUGUGGCUUUUUGUAUGUACCGUAUGAAUAAGGAUCGGCUAACUCCGUGCCAGCAGCCGCGGUAAUACGGAGGAUCCGAGCGUUAUCCGGAUUUAUUGGGUUUAAAGGGAGCGUAGGCGGGUUGUUAAGUCAGUUGUGAAAGUUUGCGGCUCAACCGUAAAAUUGCAGUUGAUACUGGCGACCUUGAGUGCAACAGAGGUAGGCGGAAUUCGUGGUGUAGCGGUGAAAUGCUUAGAUAUCACGAAGAACUCCGAUUG